rnacentral:tRNA from 1 species
GGCCUGGUAGCUCAGUUGGUAGAGCACUCGACUGAAAAUCGAGGUGUCAGUGGUUCAAGUCCACUCCGGGCCACCA